CGGGUGAGUAACGCGUAGGGAACCUGGCCCUUACAGGGGGAUAACAGAUGGAAACAACUGCUAAUACCGCAUAAGCGCCCAGCCUCGCAUGAGGCAGAGUGAAAAACUAAGGUGGUAAGGGAUGGCCCUGCGUCCGAUUAGCUAGUUGGUAUGGUAACGGCAUACCAAGGCGACGAUCGGUAGCCGGCCUGAGAGGGUGGACGGCCACAUUGGGACUGAGACACGGCCCAAACUCCUACGGGAGGCAGCAGUGGGGGAUAUUGCACAAUGGGGGAAACCCUGAUGCAGCGACACCGCGUGGGUGAAGAAGCGCUUCGGCGUGUAAAGCCCUAUCAGUGGGGAAGAAAAAGGACGGUACCCAAAGAAGAAGCACCGGCUAAAUACGUGCCAGCAGCCGCGGUAAUACGUAUGGUGCAAGCGUUAUCCGGAAUGACUGGGUGUAAAGGGAGCGUAGACGGUUGUACAAGUCUGAUGUGAAAGCCCACGGCUCAACUGUGGGAGUGCAUUGGAAACUGUAGAACUAGAGUAUCGGAGAGGCAAGUGGAAUUCCUAGUGUAGCGGUGAAAUGCGUAGAUAUUAGGAGGAACACCAGUGGCGAAGGCGGCUUGCUGGACGAAAACUGACGUUGAGGCUCGAAAGCGUGGGGGAGCAAACAGGAUUAGAUACCCUGGUAGUCCACGCUGUAAACGAUGAAUACUAGGUGUUGGGGCCCGAAGGGCGUCGGUGCCG
rnacentral:rRNA from 1 species